AAAUAAAUCCGCACAUAUGUCGACACAUUACUCUGGGUGCCUUUUAUAAGGUGGAGAAUGAGGAUAUAUGGAGGCUUAAC
rnacentral:sRNA from 1 species